rnacentral:rRNA from 1 species
AUUGACCUCGGAUCAGGUAGGGAUACCCGCUGAACUUAAGCAUAUCAAUAGC